UUUAAAGUUUUCAGACUAAACCAUACAAUGCAAUGAUCUGAUAGUUCAUUAGGGGGAAGUACAUGUAGAAAAGGAAAACUAUUUACAAUGUCUUCACUGACAAUAACAUAAUCUAUAUUACUUCUACCAUUUGGACAAAAAUAGGUAAAGUUACCUAGGGAGUCACCCAUCGCUCUGCCAUUAAGAAUUCUCGUUUUUGACUCAAUACAAAGAUCAAUAAUAUUUUUGCCUUGUUCAUUUACAAUUGUAUCCAUGUUUUGUCUUAUGGUUAAUGGGUCGUCUACAGAGUAGUUUGUUGGAAGAUAAUUAUUAUCUAUAUGUGAAAUGUGGUCUAGUUCAAUAUAAUCAAACAAAUCUCCAGUCCGGGCAUUAAAAUCUCCCAUUAAAACAACUUUCCCUUUAUGGGAGAAGUUGUCUAUAGAGUUUUUCAAAUUUUCAAAUAAAGAAUCAUGAUCAGGGGAAACUGAAGCCAUUCUUGGUUUAAUAUAAACAGUGCAAAUAUAAAUGUCAUGGGGUAAACCCAGUUGAGUUUUAUUUAAUUUUAUCCAUAUAUAGUCUUUAGUAGAUAUAACUU
rnacentral:lncRNA from 1 species